CACUGAUGUCAACCAGAAAGUGACAUCACAGUGGUCACAACUUCUCUGUGCUCUGUGGAAACUUAUGAAACCUGGUGGUGUACUCAGGAGCCAGGAUGAAAACCAGCAGCGUGGACCCAAGUGUGGCCAGAGGGGAGGAGAUGAUUACAGAAUUUCCGUUCUGCCAGGAUAUAAGGGAGAUCCAGUCUUUGAAGCCAGCAGGAAGAAACUUGAAGCCACAUGUCUACAGCAGUGUCCUGGCAGACAGGAAUAAAUGGACACACUUUCCAAGGUCACGAGAAAGAAUUAUCCUUGACCUUAUGAGGCAGAGAUAUAAAAGCAACAAUGAGA
rnacentral:lncRNA from 1 species